AUACUUACCUGGCAGGGGAGAUACCAUGAUCACCAGGGUGGUUUUCCCAGGGCGAGGCUUAUCCAUUGCAUUCCCCAUGUGCUGACCCCUGCGAUUUCCCCAAAUGUGGGAAACUGGACUGCAUAAUUUGUGGUAGUGGGGGACUGCGUUCGCGCUCUCCCCUG
ensembl:snRNA U1 U1 spliceosomal RNA